GAUGAACGCUGGCGGCGUGCUUAACACAUGCAAGUCGAACGGUGAACGAGGGAGCUUGCUCCCUCCGGAUCGGUGGCGAACGGGUGAGUAACACGUGAGCAAUCUGCCCCGAACUCUGGGAUAAGCGCUGGAAACGGCGUCUAAUACCGGAUACGACGCGCGAAGGCAUCCUCUGCGCGUGGAAAGAAUUUCGGUUCGGGAUGAGCUCGCGGCCUAUCAGCUAGUUGGUGAGGUAACGGCUCACCAAGGCGACGACGGGUAGCCGGCCUGAGAGGGUGACCGGCCACACUGGGACUGAGACACGGCCCAGACUCCUGCGGGAGGCAGCAGUGGGGAAUAUUGCACAAUGGGCGCAAGCCUGAUGCAGCAACGCCGCGUGAGGGACGACGGCCUUCGGGUUGUAAACCUCUUUUAGUAGGGAAGAAGCGAAAGUGACGGUACCUGCAGAAAAAGCACCGGCUAACUACGUGCCAGCCGCCGCGGUAACAC
rnacentral:rRNA from 1 species